rfam:Dipodomys ordii contig_77326, whole genome shotgun sequence.
UGGGGAGUGACUCAGUGAUAAAGUAUUUGCCUAGCAAGCAACAAACUCUGGGUUUUAUCCCCAGCACAACAA